rnacentral:rRNA from 1 species
AUGCCAGAGAUUAAAGCACUUAUGAUUUAUGUAAAGGAGAGGAUCAAUCUAGGUUUCCCUCAACAAAACAAGCAACCAUUGCUCAAGAAGAUCUUGGCCAUUGUUGAUAAGCGUUGGGAGAAUCAAAUGGAUCAUCCAUUGUAUGGGGCUGCUCUAUUUUUGAACCCAGGAAAGUUCUUUCCUAUUGUAAGCAGAAAUGAUGAUGCCUUAGUUGGGGAGCUUGGGAGCUGCUUUAAUGAUGUGCUUGCAAAAAUGGUACCGGAUGCCAAUGUUCGAAAAAAGAUUGAUCAACAAUCUAUGCUCUAUGAGCAACAGCGAGAAAGCUUUUCUAAUCCAUUGGCACUCGAGACCAUGAGCACAAGAAACCCUCUUGAUUGGUGGAGUUCAUUUGGUGGUCGGCCCAUUGACCUACAAAGGUUUGCAAAGCGCAUUGUUAGUCUUUGUGCUUCAUCAUCUGAUUGUGAGAGGAAUUGGAGCACGUUUGAAUUUAUCCAUACAAAGAAAAGGAACAGAUUACAAUGUAAAAGGUUGAAUGAUCUUGUCUUUGUUUCAUACAACCGGAAGAAUAUGCAACGGUUUCAAAAGAGGCGUGAGAAGGUGGGUGAGAAUAGCUUUGAGGCUUUGGUCAUUGAGGAUUUUGAUUGGGGCAAUGAGUGGGUGGACCCAUCACCAUCACAACCUCAAGGUGCUCUAGGUUGUCCUGAAGACAAUCAAGACAUUACAUGGGAGGAUGUUGAUGUGGCUAUUGGUGCAUCUUCAAACCUUCGAGGC